rnacentral:lncRNA from 1 species
UUAUGAAAAACUUAUCUAAAUUUUAUAAAAAUUAUAUUAUUUAUUACAUAAUAAAGUAUUUGUAGGUCUAAAAUACAUAGAAUUAUAUUCAAAACGGAAUAUGCUUGUAAUCAUCAACACCAAUAUAAUUAUGACACAUUGCAUUCCAAUUCCAAUCAAUUUCAACUCAUUCAUUCAUAUCUCUUGUACAAACACCCACAACCCAUUGUACUCAUACUUCCAUGCUCCACUCCUCUGAACUUGCUUCCUUGUCUUACAUCUUCACCACCUCUUUUGCAAUUGCACCACUUCCUUCCUUGUCUCUUGCUUCUUUGAUCUUUACUUCUUACACCCAUGAAAAUUUGAUGAUCCAAUGCCCAUUGUACACCACCAUCACCGUCCUCCUCUUUAUACUCACAUUACAUUGCUACCCAAUAGGAUUCCUCAAUCUCACCAUCCAUUACACACUCUACCACCACAGUUCUUGUCCACUUUCAUUACACCAUGCCACACCACCAUCAAACCAAAGCGCCCCCUCUGCACUAACUAACCAAGCAACCAAGCCAGCCUUGAUGGAACCCAGUGUAGUAUUCUGCACUCCUUCCUUCCUUCUUCAUGCUUUAGCCUCCUCAGCAACACCUUCCCUUCCCUCCCUAGUCUGCUUCCUUCCUUCUUUCCAUCACCAUACCAAACAUCAUCAACAACUUCGUGCCAUCUCCCACACUCAUCUCUCACACUCAUGCAUUCAUUCAUUCCAACCAACAAUCAAAGCUUCAAAGGGAAGGGAGGGGGGCUGAGCUUACUCUUCACCUCCUCAUCACACAAUCCCCCAACGCAACCAAACUCUCCUCUGCUCUGACACCACAAAUACAACGCAUCUUCAUCAUCAGCAGCAGCACCACCCCACCUCACUCACUCACUCACAUCUCCAUACGCACACGCAACCAUGCUCUCGCACACACUUGUAAGCACACGCUCAUUCACUCGAAGUCAGUCACACACACACACACACACACACACACACUUACACAACACACGCACACUCACUCACUCACUCACUCACACUUACACACUCACACACAAGUCGCAGCUCACGCACACCACCGAGCUCCGCCGGCACUCGUGAACACUGGACACUAGAUCGAGAAACAACACCUCAACACUCAACAUGUGGCAUGCUGCUGCCACACUAGCGCCGCGCUCCCACAUCGCCACUUACUCACCUGGAUGCGGCCCGGAACCAAGCCAGUGCAAGCAAGCAAUAUAGUUGCUGCUGCUGCUGCUGCUGCUCAUGGUGGUCGGGGACGAAUGCCGGACGGACUCAUUCUCAAUGGUGGUCUUGGGACCCGUCCACCGAUUCAGACGGUGGAUUGCAGUGGGGCACACAUGCAAUGCAAGGGGCCAAGUGGAGCAGGACGAGGACGAGGAGGAGGCUUUUCGGGCAAUU